rnacentral:rRNA from 1 species
UACGUAGGGGGCAAGCGUUUGUCCGGAUUUAUUGGGCGUAAAGAGCGUGUAGGCGGCUGGGUAGGUCCGUUGUGAAAACUCGAGCUCAACCUCGAGACGCCGAUGGAAACCCUCCAGCUAGAGUCCGGAAGAGGAGAGUGGAAUUCCUGGUGUAGCGGUGAAAUGCACAGAUAUCAGGAAGAACACCCGUGGCUAAGGCGGCUCUCUAGUACGGUACUGACGCUGAGACGCGAAAGCGUGGGGAGCGAACAGG